GGGGCUGAUUCUGGAUUCGACGGGAUUUGCGAAACCCAAGGUGCAUGCCGAGGGGCGGUUGGCCUCGUAAAAAGCCGCAAAAAAUAGUCGCAAACGACGAAAACUACGCUUUAGCAGCUUAAUAACCUGCUUAGAGCCCUCUCUCCCUAGCCUCCGCUCUUAGGACGGGGAUCAAGAGAGGUCAAACCCAAAAGAGAUCGCGUGGAAGCCCUGCCUGGGGUUGAAGCGUUAAAACUUAAUCAGGCUAGUUUGUUAGUGGCGUGUCCGUCCGCAGCUGGCAAGUGAAUGUAAAGACUGACUAAGCAUGUAGUACCGAGGACGUAGGAAUUUCGGACGCGGGUUCAACUCCCGCCAGCUCCACCA
rnacentral:tmRNA from 1 species